AACGAACGCUGGCGGCGCGCCUAACACAUGCAAGUCGAACGAGAAUCCGGGGCAACCCGGUAGUAAAGUGGCAAACGGGUGAGGAAUACAUGGGUAACCUACCCUUGAGAAGGGAAUAACCCGCCGAAAGGUGAGCUAAUACCCUAUACGCUAUCUUUUUUUCGAAAAGGAUAGGAAAGCCGGGUCGAGGACCUGGUACUCAAGGAGGGGCUCAUGUCCUAUCAGCUUGUUGGUGGGGUAACGGCCUACCAAGGCUACGACGGGUAGCUGGUCUGAGAGGAUGAUCAGCCACACUGGCACUGAGAUACGGGCCAGACUCCUACGGGAGGCAGCAGUGAGGAAUAUUGCGCAAUGGGCGAAAGCCUGACGCAGCGACGCCGCGUGGGGGAUGAAGGCCUCGGUUGUAAG
rnacentral:rRNA from 1 species